UACGAAGGGGGCUAGCGUUGUUCGGAAUUACUGGGCGUAAAGCGCGCGCAGGCGGUCUUCCAAGUCAGUGGUGAAAGCCCGGAGCUCAACUCCGGAACUGCCAUUGAAACUGUAAGACUUGAGGAUGAGAGAGGUGAGUGGAAUUCCCAGUGUAGAGAUGAAAUUCGUAGAUAUUGGGAAGAACACCGGUGGCGAAGGCGGCUCACUGGCUCAUUUCUGACGCUCAGGCGCGACAGCGUGGGGAUCAAACAGG
rnacentral:rRNA from 1 species